rnacentral:rRNA from 1 species
GAUGAACGCUAGCGAUAGGCUUAACACAUGCAAGUCGAGGGGCAGCAUUAUUUUAGCUUGCUAAGAUAGAUGGCGACCGGCGCACGGGUGCGUAACGCGUAUGCAACCUGCCUGUAAUUAGGGAAUAACCCGGUGAAAGUCGGACUAAUACCCUAUAUUCUUCUUUCUCCGCAUGGGGGAGGACGGAAAGAUUUAUUGAUUACAGAUGGGCAUGCGUCCCAUUAGCUGGUUGGUAAGGUAACGGCUUACC